AGUGAACGCUGGCGGUAGGCCUAACACAUGCAAGUCGAACGGCAGCACAGUAAGAGCUUGCUCUUACGGGUGGCGAGUGGCGGACGGGUGAGGAAUACAUCGGAAUCUACUUUUUCGUGGGGGAUAACGUAGGGAAACUUACGCUAAUACCGCAUACGACCUACGGGUGAAAGCAGGGGAUCUUCGGACCUUGCGCGAUUGAAUGAGCCGAUGUCGGAUUAGCUAGUUGGCGGGGUAAAGGCCCACCAAGGCGACGAUCCGUAGCUGGUCUGAGAGGAUGAUCAGCCACACUGGAGCUGAGACACUGUCCAGAGUCCUAGGGGAGGCAGCAGUGGGGAAUAUUGGAAAAUGGGCGCAAGCCUGAUCCAGCCAUACCGCGUGGGUGAAGAAGGCCUUCGGGUGGUAAAGCCCUUUUGUUGGGAAAGAAAAGCAGCAGGUUAAUACCCCGCUGUUCUGACGGUACCCAAAGAAUAAGCACCGGCUAACUUCGU
rnacentral:rRNA from 1 species